UACGGGGGGGGCAAGCGUUGUUCGGAAUUACUGGGCGUAAAGGGCUCGUAGGCGGCCAACUAAGUCAGACGUGAAAUCCCUCGGCUUAACCGGGGAACUGCAUCUGAUACUGGAUGGCUUGAGUUCGGGAGAGGGAUGCGGAAUUCCAGGUGUAGCGGUGAAAUGCGUAGAUAUCAGGAAGAACACCAAUGGCGAAGGCAGCUCUCUGGGACGGUACUGACGCUGAGACGCGAAAGCGUGGGGAGCGAACAGG
rnacentral:rRNA from 1 species